GUGAACGCUGGCGGUAGGCCUAACACAUGCAAGUCGAACGGCAGCACCGUAAGAGCUUGCUCUUACGGGUGGCGAGUGGCGGACGGGUGAGGAAUACAUCGGAAUCUACUUUUUCGUGGGGGAUAACGUAGGGAAACUUACGCUAAUACCGCAUACGACCUACGGGUGAAAGCCGGGGAUCUUCGGACCUUGCGCGAUUGAAUGAGCCGAUGUCGGAUUAGCUAGUUGGCGGGGUAAAGGCCCACCAAGGCGACGAUCCGUAGCUGGUCUGAGAGGAUGAUCAGCCACACUGGAACUGAGACACGGUCCAGACUCCUACGGGAGGCAGCAGUGGGGAAUAUUGGACAAUGGGCGCAAGCCUGAUCCAGCCAUACCGCGUGGGUGAAGAAGGCCUUCGGGUUGUAAAGCCCUUUUGUUGGGAAAGAAAAGCAGCAGGUUAAUACCCCGCUGUUCUGACGGUACCCAAAGAAUAAGCACCGGCUAACUUCGUG
rnacentral:rRNA from 1 species